rnacentral:rRNA from 1 species
UACGAAGGGGGCUAGCGUUGUUCGGAAUUACUGGGCGUAAAGCGUGCGCAGGCGGUUGUGUAAGACAGAUGUGAAAUCCCCGGGCUCAACCUGGGAACUGCAUUUGUGACUGCACGGCUGGAGUGCGGCAGAGGGGGAUGGAAUUCCGCGUGUAGCAGUGAAAUGCGUAGAUAUGCGGAGGAACACCGAUGGCGAAGGCAAUCCCCUGGGCCUGCACUGACGCUCAUGCACGAAAGCGUGGGGAGCAAACAGG